GGGCGUUAAGUUGCAGGGUAUAGACCCGAAACCCGGUGAUCUAGCCAUGGGCAGGUUGAAGGUUGGGUAACACUAACUGGAGGACCGAACCGACUAAUGUUGAAAAAUUAGCGGAUGACCUGUGGCUGGGGGUGAAAGGCCAAUCAAACCGGGAGAUAGCUGGUUCUCCCCGAAAGCUAUUUAGGUAGCGCCUCGUGAACUCAUCUCCGGGGGUAGAGCACUGUUUCGGCUAGGGGGCCAUCCCGGCUUACCAACCCGAUGCAAACUGCGAAUACCGGAGAAUGUUAUCACGGGAGACACACGGCGGGUGCUAACGUCCGUCGUGAAGAGGGAAACAACCCAGACCGCCAGCUAAGGUCCCAAAGUCAUGGUUAAGUGGGAAACGAUGUGGGAAGGCCCAGACAGCCAGGAUGUUGGCUUAGAAGCAGCCAUCAUUUAAAGAAAGCGUAAUAGCUCACUGGUCGAGUCGGCCUGCGCGGAAGAUGUAACGGGGCUAAACCAUGCACCGAAGCUGCGGCAGCGACACUAUGUGUUGUUGGGUA
rnacentral:rRNA from 1 species